GCUUGAUUACACAAAGAUUCAGAUACUUGCUCAAUAAAAGAUAGAGUUAAGAAACUCACUUACAAAUAUCCAUUGCAUAAAGUAAAUGCAAAUGGUAGGAUACUUGCUUAAACGAAUAACAAAGAUCAUUAUGGAUUUGAAUAAUCAACAAUAAUUAUUCAUGAACAUGCUUUGAAAUUAAUAACUAAAGUUGAGUUAGGAACUUGCAUAAACAUAUAUUUGUUUACAGAAAAUAAAAGUAGUGCGUAAGGUUUAAAUAGUUGCCUUAAUCGCUGCUUACUGCUACACAAUUUAAUUUAUCCUUUAUACAAAGACCUAUCAUUAAAAAGAUUUUUCUUUCAAUUAGAAUAGUAUAUCAUGAUGCAUAAUACUGCUAUUUACAGUCAUCAUACAGCUUAAACACAUUAUCAUAUAUCCACAUUAGUUAUUAUAACAUAUACAAACAAUUAUCAGGUCAAAUUAUUUCAAUCUAAUUUGAUUUUGGUAUCAAUUCG
rnacentral:lncRNA from 1 species